ACCCAGAAUAGCUCCGCUGCUAGAGCAUCAAACUCUUAAUCUCAGGGUCGUGGGUUUGAGUCCCCCAUUGGGCA